UUCACUUGUUCGAAUUUCUGCAAAGCCAAAUAACUUUUGCAAAUUGCCACUCUCAAUCACUCGAAAUCUCUAAAUUCAUUUUUCCCCUCCUUUCAAACUUCAAAUGGGGUUUUCUUAAGCUGAUUGAUGGACUAAAGUCUUAAAACUUUUGGGCUAUAAGAGAGUUUUCUAUGAGUGCUUUAUUGGUAAUCUCAGAGGUGAUCGUGAUCAGGGAGUUUCAAGAUGAUCUCUUCAAGCCUUUGUCCUCAAUUUGUCUGGGUUUGACUGUCUGCCCUGAAUGAUUAGAUGUGAUGCUAAUUGGGUGAUGCUGAUGGGUGAUGGAUGAAGUUAUCACUAGUAGUACUACUAUCAUAGUUGUUUUAUUCACCUCAUGAGAAGAAGAGGCAAGAGUAUAUUUCAAUGGCACUACUUUUGAAUUUGGGCCGAUCCUUUUCAAUGCAGAUGAACAUUUUUCUCCCCAAACUCUUGCCUACUUAUUCUUUUUCUUCAUUUUCUGACUCUGAACAGCGGCUACCACCACCACCGCAAAUAUGGCACUUGGAGACUGAGCCCAAACCCAUACUUCCAACAAUUGAACCAUCAAAAAAUGCUGAUUUAAUAUCCCAAAUCAUUCUCCAACACCACAACCCUUUCCACGCCACAGAAUCCUCUUUCCAGCUCAAUGGAAUCACUCUCACAACCUCCUUAGUCCACCAAAUUCUCCUUCGCCUUCAUCACUCUUCAAAAGUUGCCCUUGCCUUUUUCCAAUAUUGUCAGUUCCACCAUCCUUCCUAUUGCCAUGACACCACCGCUUUCAACCUCCUUGUGGAUAGUCUCUGCAAAGUCCGCCAGUUUGAUGUUGCUUGGCAACUCAUUGUCCAGAUGGACCAGGAAAGCAACAAUCUUAGGCCUAAUUUUACCACAUUUUAUAUCCUGAUUAGAAGGUUGAUUUCUGCUGGUCUCACACGGCAGGCUAUUCGGGCUUUCGAUGAAAUGCAUAUUUUUAUAGACGAAGAAAAUAGUGGAAGUUUUUCACAGUUCCGGUUUUGUUUUCUUCUUGAUACUCUAUGUAAAUAUGGGUAUGUUAAGGUAGCUAGUGAGUUGUUUAAUAAAGAGAAGUGGAGGCUUGAGUUGAAUGCGAAGAUUUACACAAUUUUGAUAUAUGGGUGGUUUAAGGUGAAGAAAAUCGAAAUGGCUGAGAAGUUUUUUAAGGAGAUGGUGCAGAAGGGAAUUGAGCCAAAUGUGGUAACUUAUAAUGUGAUGUUAAAUGGGAUCUGUAGGAAGGCGAGUUUGCACCCGGAUGAACGGUUUGAGAAGGUGAUAAGGAAUGCGGAGAAGGUGUUUGUGGAAAUGCGUGAUAGAGGUGUAGAGCCUGAUGUUACGAGUUAUUCCAUUUUGCUUCAUGUUUAUAGUAGAGCACAUAAACCUGCAUUAUCGCUUGAGAAGUUGAAGAUGAUGAAGGACAGAGGGAUUUGCCCUAAUGUGGCAACAUAUACCUCAGUUGUUAAAUGUCUUUGUUCUUGUGGAAGAAUAGAGGAUGCUGAGGUGUUGUUGGAUGAGAUGGUGUCAAAUGGGGUUAAUCCUGCAACUGUAACUUACAAUUGCUUUUUUAAGGAGUAUAGAGGGAGGAAAGAUACAGAAGGAGCCAUGAGGUUGUACAGAAAAAUGAAGGAAGAUGGUUCUUUCUGUUCACCAAGCAUACAUACUUAUAACAUACUGUUGGGGAUGUUCACGAAGGUAAAUAAGAUGGGACUUGCAAUGGAGAUUUGGGAGGAUAUGAAGGCUAGCAGGAUUGGACCAGACUUGGACACAUAUACAUUGUUAAUUCAUGGAUUGUGUGCGAGAAGGAAUUGGAGGGUUGCUUGUGAGCUUUUCAUGGAGAUGAUAGAGAAAGGAUAUCUUCCACAGAAGAUCACAUUUCAGACGCUGUAUAAAGGCUUAAUUCAAUCUGAUAUGUUGAGAACUUGGAGAAGGUUGAAAAAGAAACUCGAGGAAGAAUCAAUAACAUUUGGUUCAGAAUUUGAAACUUUGCACCUCAAGCCUUAUAGAAGGUGACAAGUUUACCAAAAGUUUUUGUGAGGAUCUGACAGGGGUCCAAAGAACUUUCUGUGAUACCGUUUUCUCAAGGCUUAGAUUGUGCGUUAUAAAAUACUCAAAGAUGCUUGAGGUGGCUCAGUUCCAUUAUUGCUAAGGGUCUUGCUGGUAAUAGAGGCUAAUCAAGAAUUCUAAGAGAAAAGUUGGACUAGUGGAUUUCACAGGGGAAGCAUGGUUUAAUAGUUCAUGAAAGUCUGAAGAGUAAUUUGCCCGUGUCAUGAAGAGAGAGGGAGUAUUUUGGUUGAUAUGUUCUAAUCAAGAUGGACAACAGCACCUGUUAAGCCAAAUGAUUGAAAAUGUCUGAUAAUGUGUUGAUAGUAUACAGAUAUUGUACCUUAUUUGGUUUGGAAGUAAAUGAUAAGAAUCUUUAUUAAAUGUGGAAUAAAUAAUGCUUAUCUUUAUUAAUAUGCGGAAGAGAUAAUGUCAGAAGAUUUGCUUA